GAAUUCACUAGUGAUUCAGGCCUAACACAUGCAAGUAGAACGAUUUACUUCGGUAAAGAGCGGCGGACGGGUGAGUAACGCGUGGGUAACCUGCCCUGUACACACGGAUAACAUACCGAAAGGUAUGCUAAUACGAGAUAAUAUGCUUUUAUCGCAUGGUAGAAGUAUCAAAGCUUUUGCGGUACAGGAUGGACCCGCGUCUGAUUAGCUAGUUGGUGAGGUAACGGCUCACCAAGGCGACGAUCAGUAGCCGACCUGAGAGGGUGAUCGGCCACAUUGGAACUGAGACACGGUCCAAACUCCUACGGGAGGCAGCAGUGGGGAAUAUUUCACGAGGGGCGAAAGCCUGAUGCAGCAACGCC
rnacentral:rRNA from 1 species